UACAGAGGUCUCAAGCGUUGUUCGGAAUCACUGGGCGUAAAGGGUGCGUAGGUGGCGUGGUAAGUCAGAUGUGAAAGCCCGGGCGUCAACCUACGGACUAGCAUCCGAUACUGCCACUGCUAGAGAACUGAAGAGGAGUGUAGAAUUCUCGGUGUAGCAGUGAAAUGCGUAGAUAUCGAGAGGAAUACCAACGGCGAAGGCAGCACUCUGGGCAGUUUC
rnacentral:rRNA from 1 species